rnacentral:rRNA from 1 species
CCUACGGGUGGCUGCAGUGGGGAAUAUUGGACAAUGGGCGAAAGCCUGAUCCAGCCAUGCCGCGUGUGUGAAGAAGGCCUUCGGGUUGUAAAGCACUUUCAGUGGGGAAGAAAGCCUUGGGGCUAAUACCCUCGAGGAAGGACAUCACCCACAGAAGAAGCACCGGCUAACUCCGUGCCAGCAGCCGCGGUAAUACGGAGGGUGCGAGCGUUAAUCGGAAUUACUUGGCGUAAAGCGCGCGUAGGCGGUCUGAUAAGCCGGUUGUGAAAGCCCCGGGCUCAACCUGGGAACGGCAUCCGGAACUGUCAGGCUAGAGUGCAGGAGAGGAAGGUAGAAUUCCCGGUGUAGCGGUGAAAUGCGUAGAGAUCGGGAGGAAUACCAGUGGCGAAGGCGGCCUUCUGGACUGACACUGACGCUGAGGUGCGAAAGCGUGGGUAGCAAACAGGAUUAGAUACCCUAGUAGUC